rnacentral:rRNA from 1 species
GAUGAACGCUGGCGGCGUGCCUAAUACAUGCAAGUCGAGCGAACAGACGAGGAGCUUGCUCCUCUUACGUUAGCGGCGGACGGGUGAGUAACACGUGGAUAACCUACCUAUAAGACUGGGAUAACUUCUGGAAACCGGAGCUAAUACCGGAUAAUAUAUUGAACCGCAUGGUUCAAUAGUUAAAGACGGUUUUUCUUUCACUUAUAGAUGGAUCCGCGCCGCAUUAGCUAGUUGGUAAGGUAACGGCUUACCAAGGCAACGAUGCGUAGCCGACCUGAGAGGGUGAUCGGCCACACUGGAACUGAGACACGGUCCAGACUCCUACGGGAGGCAGCAGUAGGGAAUCUUCCGCAAUGGGCGAAAGCCUGACGGAGCAACGCCGCGUGAGUGAUGAAGGUCUUCGGAUCGUAAAACUCUGUUAUUAGGGAAGAACAAAUGUGUAAGUAACUAUGCACGUCUUGACGGUACCUAAUCAGAAAGCCACGGCUAACUACGUG